rnacentral:rRNA from 1 species
AACGAACGCUGGCGGCAGGCUUAACACAUGCAAGCCGAACGCCCCGCAAGGGGAGUGGCAGACGGGUGAGUAACGCGUGGGAACAUACCCUUUCCUGCGGAAUAGCUCCGGGAAACUGGAAUUAAUACCGAAUACGCCCUACGGGGGAAAGAUUUAUCGGGGAAGGAUUGGCCCGCGUUGGAUUAGCUAGUUGGUGGGGUAAAGGCCUACCAAGGCGACGAUCCAUAGCUGGUCUGAGAGGAUGAUCAGCCACAUUGGGACUGAGACACGGCCCAAACUCCUACGGGAGGCAGCAGUGGGGAAUAUUGGACAAUGGGCGCAAGCCUGAUCCAGCCAUGCCGCGUGAGUGAUGAAGGCCUUAGGGUUGUAAAGCUCUUUCACCGGAGAAGAUAAUGACGGUAUCCGGAGAAGAAGCCCCGGCUAACUUCGUGCCAGCAGCCGCCGUAAUAC